rnacentral:miRNA from 12 species
CAAACAUGUCCAAGUUUCUCACUGUGCUGGCAGUGGUCUGCAGGAACUUGGACAUGUUUGGUGCAUCC